rnacentral:rRNA from 1 species
UCGGUCUCUAUCUGUUGCGGGCGCAGGAGAAUUGCGCGGGUCUGACACUAGUACGAGAGGACCGUGUUGGACGGACCGCUGGUCUGCCGGUUGUGCCGCCAGGUGCACCGCCGGGUAGCUAAGUCCGGUGAGGAUAAGCGCUGAAAGCAUCUAAGCGCGAAGCCAUCCGCAAGAUUAGUUCUCCCAUGAGGGUCGUCGAAGAUCACGACGUCGAUAGGUCGCAGGUGUAAAGGCGGCGACGCCAAAGCCGAGCGAUACUAAUUGCCCGAACGGCUUUUCCGG